GGCCGGGCCGGGGGUGCGGUGCCGAGAGCGCCCCCUGGCGGCAGCCGCGCGGUUGCCAUGGGGACGGGCGGGGGUCGGGGGUCGCGGCCUAGCUCCGAGCGGGGCCCGGGGGGUUCCCGGGGGGCUCCUGGCGGGUUCCCAGCUCUGUAUCCCAGCUCCUGCAUAUCCCCGGGACAGUAUGUUAAGCCCCAUAUGCUCUGUGUGCAAUGAGGGCAAGGAUAGCCACCCCCCCCCACCCCCCCGCCGCCCCAAAGCUUCCCGCUGUGUAUGGGAGUAUGGCUGGUAUCUAUGGGCAGGUUUAGAUGCUACAGGCAUAAUAGAAUUCAUUAGGUUGGAAAAGACUUCUGAGAUCGUGGAGUCCAACCUAUGACUGAGCACCACCUUGUCAACCAGACCAAUGCACUGGGUGCUACUCCAGUUUUUCCUUAAACACCUCCAGGGACGGUGAUUCCAGCACCUCUCUGGGCAGCCCGUUCCAAUGUACAAACACCUACAGCCCAGUCCUCUCCUGGCCACUGUCUCCUGCAGCACAUGGCUGAGCAGGAUGUGAUCCCACUGGGAGCCUCAGCCCUCACCAGACAUGGCAUUUGAACAGCCAGGUCAAUGUGUGCCUGCCCAUGGAAAGGGGGUGGAAUAGGAUGAACUUUUAAGGUCCUUCCCAACCCAAACCAGUCUGUGACUCUAUGGAGGGUGGUUUGUACCAGUGGGUUGACCAGCAGUGGUUCAGGAGUGCUGUGGCUGAGCUGCUGCAGGGUCACUGUGGGCAGCUGCCUGCCCUGGAGAGGGGGAUGCUGGCUGCACAGGAAAGCUACAGCAGGAAUGGUGGAACGUGUACUGUAAUACUUGCCCUGUCCUAGCCCCCAGUGCUCAUGCAGAGAGACAAAAAUUGAAGUUGAUCCUCUUCUUCCACAAAGAAAAAGCAGUUAUCAGUGGUAUCUAUAUUUAUUUAUUUUUCCUCUCAGAAUAUGAGGUGCAGUUGAUCUCCAGAAGCUUCUCAAGGGCAAUUAAAGCAAGUCAUACUGUGGGAGCAUUUGUUGUGCUGAAUCUUAUAUUUCUCUUCCUACCCAGCUGAGUCAGAACAGCUGCUUAGCAAAGGAUCUGAAGAGGUUUCAGAAGCAGUUAGAAAGGGAAGCGGGAAAGCCUGAGGCAAGAAAACGUGCCUUUAUUCUGAAGACCCUGAAAAUGCCUUCAGAGUACUAUUUGUUUGUGGAAGAAUUUUGCAAGAACCCUGGCAUUAUUUGGGUUAUGAUACUGGUUGGCAAGUCACAAGGUGGGGGAAUGUUUCUGAAAACUGAAAUGUAUAAUUGAUUGAAGAAGGUGAGAAUGACUGUCUUUUCUUUGGGAAUAUCCAACAGGCAUUUUGUUCAUUUGCUCUUUUUUCAUCCUCUCCUUCUGCCAGUGCUUGGUCUGUUCUCCCAUGAUGCCCUCCUGCCAUACUCCUCACCAUUCUCCAGGGUAACAAUAAAGGUUUUUACAAUGGA